GCAAACAACGUUGGAAUAUUCUGCCAUUCGCACGGCUAGCACAACGAAUUCUCACGAUUUACAAACAAAAAGCGUUUUAAGAUAAUUUUACAGAUUUUAUUUUCUUUAAAUCGUUAAAUAAUUUAUCAUCCCGAUUCGGAAUAACAUUAUGUGAAAAAAUAUUCAAUGAUAGCAGGAAAUUGUUCUUGAUAAGGUUACUGCGAAAGGAGUUAUAUGAUUUUUCCUUUCGUCAUUGUUAUUUACAUGUACUUGACGCUUUUGUUUAAAAAGAAUAUUUAAGAAGAAACCUGAACGAUAGUUUUAUGGACUGCUAAUGGGAUUACUAUUAAUAUAACUAGUUAUUUACCGAGAACAUUUGAAUGUAGCUUAUUAAUCAGCUUAUGAUGCUGAUUGCUGCUGACUUACCAGUCGAGUCGCUUUUCUAUAUUAUAUGACAGGAAACGCUCGGGAUGUGGAAAAAGUUAAAAGAAUUCUCUCGCUUUAUCGAUCGAGAUGCCGAAAAAAAAACGAGAGAGUAUUAAGCGAUAUUUUAUAUUAGACGCUCCUGGUUUGUCAGGAACGUCGUUGAUUUAUGGACGCUCGCUUGAGCGUGGAAUUAAUUGGAACAAGCAUAGUGUAACCUAAUUUUAUUCGGUUUUCGUUCAUCGAUUCUAAAUAAAGAAUUCUUUAAACGACAUUUUCUUUUUACAAGCAACAUGUUGCUGGAUAGACCUAAAUAGAAAUUGUAUAGUAAACAGCUUUUGAUUUCGAAUACAAAAGUUGCCUUUAGCAGUUAAUUUACAGCUUUGUGUAACAUAUUAAUUGUAUUCUUGGAAAAUUAACUUGCAAAGUUAGAACUUCAAAUUUACGAAUAUCUGAUUUAUAAAAAUAGAAAAUGUCCUGAAGAUUUGAGAUGUUAUGGACAGCUGUAACUUGCAUAGUCAUUAUAUGACCGUUGUAAAUGUAUAAUAUCUGACGGUUAUAUAUUUAGGCCAUUGUAAAUUAAAUUGUAGGCCUACAGAAAAGAGCAUCUCUACUGGUGCUAAUUGGUAGAUGUUUUCAGAAAAUGAGAUACUAAACACCCUACAGCUGUAGAUUUCUAAAAUUUAAUUUGCAUCACUAUUAUAUAUAAUUGACUAGUUCACAAUCAGAAUUUUUCAGGAAAAUCAGCGCUUAAAAAAGCAUGAUUUCUUUUCUAUGUAGAAAGCUUUUGUCUUCGUCGCAUAAUUCUCAUCACUCACCCUCAACAAACAAAGAAAGCUUCCAAACCUUUUGGCAGCUUGAUUAAUACGUAACAGAUAAGUUAAGAAAAAGUACGUGUGUUGCAUUAAUUUAAAUAAUUACACAAACUCAUAGUUAAAUACUGGCCAAACUUAAAAAGCAGAUAAGAAUAGAUGUAUAAUCAAAUAUAAGUUGGAAUUGUGAAAUAUUCUCUAUUCGAAAUAACACGGCAGAGAAUUGUCAAUAGUGUAAGGCGCGCUGUGGUUAAUUUAGCGAAUGUUUAGCCUUUGGGAAUGUUGUACAGACGCAUGUUUUUGUCAGGAAUGGAAUAUAUUUAAGAUUCGACGUUGACUUUUCCAGGUGCUUAUGACCACAGCGCCACCUGGCGCCUCGAUGGGCAACUGCAUAUCCCGGUGCUGUACGAGCGGAAGCUCCACACGUCAUCGUUCGAAUCCGGCGAAGCUUGCUGCACCUACAAAUUCCAGACAACAUGCCUACGAACGGAACAGAAUUUUAAAUGGCCAGAAUUGUAACGGCGCCAAUGAUGGAUUAAAUGUUACUGGUGAUGUAUCUGCCACCGAAGGCGGCGUUGGAAACGAAGCAGAAGCAGAAAGAGCCUUGCUGGAUUUAUAUGACCGGUACAAAGACACAGAAGAUAUAAAUUGCAUUUUAGCCGAUGGUUGCGAAAGGUUGUGUUUCGAUCUGGAUCUGAAACCAGAUGACUUUCGGGUACUCGUUCUCGCACAUGCUCUGAACGCAAGUUCAAUGUGCUGCUUUACAAAAGCCGAAUUUCUCAAUGGGGGCCGAAAGUUAGGCGUUCAUUCUAUAGGUGGCUUUAAAUCGGUCAUACCGUCAUUAAUCAAUAAUCUAAUCUGCGAUAAAAUCUCUUUCAAAAUCUUCUACAAAUGGACAUUUUCAUAUGGUUUGGAGAGUGGCCAGCGUUCUUUGUCAAUCGAAAUGGCACUUGUCCUCUGGCCUUUAAUAUUUACUGAAAACGAGCCUGCCAUCCUAAAACCAUGGCUUCUUUUUUUGGAAAAAUCCUCAUCAGUAAGGGCUAUAGCAAGAGAUACUUGGGAUAUGUUCCUGAAUCUAGUCGAACAAGUUGGUGAUGAUUUAUCAGCAUAUGACGAAUCUGAAGCUUGGCCUUCUCUAUUUGACGAUUUUGUUGAAUGGGAAAAUGAUAGGAAGAAUCAGAACGUUUCUGAAGACGUUCAAAUUUAAGAUUAUACAGCUUUAUAAAAUUUAUCAAAUGAGCGAAUUUAAGCGAAAAUUCGUUUGCUUUUAGCAAUAUGCUGCACAAGUUUGUUGUGUACGUUUUUCUUCUGUUCGUUUGCAAAUCUAGUCGAAGGACAGAGUAUGUGCGUAAAUGGUUAUAUAUAUAUAUAUAUAUAUAUAUAUAUAUAUAUAUAUUGUGUACGUGUAUAUAUAUGUAGGAAAUUUGAUAAAAAAGCGGAUAGAAUAUUUUAUAUUCAUUUCCACGUGUCUUUCAUUGAUCGCCUUUACAAGUAGUUCUGAGUGGGUUUCAUUUGUUGUUCAGAAAAUUUUUACUUAAGUGAAUGUCGUGAGAAUUGAAUAAUUAUAUAAGGCGAACAUCUGAAGGGUAAGUGUUUCUUUUCUUUUUGUCGUACUAGCAAAUCCAUUGCUCAUAUGAUUAAUGUUUUACGAGACUAAAACGUAAUACAGUACUAUCUAAUUAUUAAUUCUUCAUAAAAGACAUUAAGCCCAUUUAUAUUCUAAAACGGAAAAUAUUAUCAAAUAGUCUUAGUUUAUCUCUUCAAGAGGACAAAUUGUUAAUGGUAGAUCUUAAGUUUAAAGCUAGAAAUCCCUGAUCAGCACAAGACUUUAGCAUAUUUUCAGCCACUUUCAUAAAACCAAAGGCAUCAAAAUACUUUUUAUUCUUCCUAUCUUUGCUAAGUUUUUGAAGAAGAACGCUCAACUUUUCGGCCGUUCUAUCGGCUUCUAAGCCAUCCUUAAACGUUAGCGAGACCGUUCUAAACCAUAAAUCAUUGCUCAGACUGUCGAGGAAGUUGUCGAGGAAAGUUGACUCAACACACAUUUGAAUAUGAAUAUCCAAAGACUUGUUCUGAAGUGCUUUGUUAGUAGGUCGCAAAAAAGGUGUAAUGGCUAGUGGCCCAGCAUAUUUCAGGAAAAGACCUCGGCCAACUUCAUUCUUUACCUGAUUUCUAAUUGUUUCCAGAGCAUGAGCGAGCUGAUCAACUGGCAGCGGAGUAUGGAGGAUAAUUAAAGCCGACAACAUCAGACACUCAGUGUCAGAAUAAGAUGCCAUCUGGUGGCGGGGUCCAUAUAUUUGCUCUCCAAGUCUUCUUAAUGUUGCCGUAUGCUGAGAACGUUGAUGAUUGGCUUGCAAACUUUGCAAAAUAGCAUAUAUAAAUUUAAAAGGUGAAACUUUGCUAUCUUCAAACUCGGGUAACAAGUCAAUUAAUUCUGGAAGAACCCUCACGCACUCGUCAAUAUCUUUAGAGUGCUCAGAGGUCCAAUCGAGAAGCUGUAGUAUUAAUUGUUUACCUUUGAAUUGUACGAGUUUUGGCUUGAUUUUAUUUGAUGGCUUAUCGUUUUGCGAUUUUAACUUAAUAUCUUUCAGAGGAUUUGAAGGAUUUUUCAAGCGUUCAAAAUUUGAAACUCUUCCUUCCAGCGACAAGCAUUUUUUCUGAGUCUUCUCCAAUUCCUUUUCCAAUAUUCCAACCUGCCGUCUUAGGCCCUCAUUCUCUUUACCCAAUAAAUUCAUACUUUCUCUUAAUCUCUUGUUAUCUUUUUUCGCUUCUUCAUUCCCACCUUUUAAACGGUUCAACCGUUCCUCGUAUUCUCUUUCAAUGCAAUUAAUCUUUUCAUCGGUCUCUUCCGUCACAACGCUGUCCAAUUUUUCUUCCAACUCUAAAAUCUUUUCUUCUCUCAGUCGCAACCGUUCCUCUCUAAAUUCUAUUUCCCUAGAUUUAGCAGAGAGAGCUGUUGAUUCCCUUUUUAAAUGAUCUUUGAUUUCUGUUAACUCGUCGUAAACUUCUUGUAACUUGGCUUCACAAAUUCCUUGCCCCUGGGAUAAUGGUGGCCUUUCUCCUCGGAAACCAUAAAUUGUUCCUUGCACAUAUUUUUUGUUUCCAUUUAGAGUUGCCAUGACUAAAUUUGUAAAAGAAUUAUUCUAAAAACCAUGUAAUAUCGCCCAAAUGUUUUGAUAACUUGGCAAAACAAUUUCACUUUUAGUUCACCUCCUAACGAAAGCUGCUUCUUAUUAAUAUUAAAACUUACAGUCAAAAUUAAUAAGAAAAUAUAUGAUUUUUCAAAAUAAAACUUAACAAACAAUAGACUGCAAGUUUAAACACGUAAAAUUACUACAUUCCGAAAGAAAGCGAAAUCGAUUUCGGAAAUCGGAAAAUCCGUAAGUCUCGAUUUGCAGAUGUUAAUUAGAAUACGCUAAUAUAUUUCCUAAUAUCUCGCAGUUAUUGAUAAAGAUUAAGAAAUGUAAAAUUUACAGUACAUUUCUAAGGUCACAUUUAUA
rnacentral:misc_RNA from 1 species